GUGCUUGCUCUGGCAGCGCACAGACUGACACUGAAUGAUACAAGGAUGAUUAGCAUGGCCCCCACUCAAGGAGGACCCACAAAUUUGUGACACGUUCCACAGUUCA
ensembl:snRNA U6 U6 spliceosomal RNA